rnacentral:rRNA from 1 species
CCUACGGGAGGCAGCAGUGAGGAAUAUUGGUCAAUGGACGAGAGUCUGAACCAGCCACGUAGCGUGAAGGAUGACUGCCCUAUGGGUUGUAAACUUCUUUUAUAUGGGAAUAAAAUGUUCCACGUGUGUGAUUUUGUAUGUACCAUAUGAAUAAGGAUCGGCUACCUCAGUGCCAGCAGCCGCGGUAAUACGGAGGAUCCGAGGGUUAUCCGGAUUUAUUGGGUUGAAAGGGAACGUAUGUGGAUUUUUAAGUCCAUUGUGAAAGUUUGCGGCUCAAACGUAAAAUUGCAGUUGAAACUGGCAGUCUUGAGUACAGUAGAGGUGGGCGGAAUUCGUUGUGUAGCGGUGAAAUGCUUAGAUAUCACGAAGAACUCCGAUUGCGAAGGCAGUUCACUGGACUGCAACUGACACUGAGGCUCGAAAGUGUGGGUAGCAAACAGGAUUAGAUACCCUUGUAGUC